rnacentral:rRNA from 1 species
AAAGCUCAAAUUUGAAAUCUGGUACCUUCGGUGCCCGAGUUGUAAUUUGGAGAGGGCAACUUUGGGGCCGUUCCUUGUCUAUGUUCCUUGGAACAGGACGUCAUAGAGGGUGAGAAUCCCGUGUGGCGAGGAGUGCGGUUCUUUGUAAAGUGCCUUCGAAGAGUCGAGUUGUUUGGGAAUGCAGCUCUAAGUGGGUGGUAAAUUCCAUCUAAAGCUAAAUAUUGGCGAGAGACCGAUAGCGAACAAGUACAGUGAUGGAAAGAUGAAAAGAACUUUGAAAAGAGAGUGAAAAAGUACGUGAAAUUGUUGAAAGGGAAGGGCAUUUGAUCAGACAUGGUGUUUUGUGCCCUCUGCUCCUUGUGGGUAGGGGAAUCUCGCAUUUCACUGGGCCAGCAUCAGUUUUGGUGGCAGGAUAAAUCCAUAGGAAUGUAGCUUGCCUCGGUAAGUAUUAUAGCCUGUGGGAAUACUGCCAGCUGGGACUGAGGACUGCGACGUAAGUCAAGGAUGCUGGCAUAAUGGUUAUAUGCCGCCCGUCUUGA